GUGUCAGCCGCCGCGGUAAUACGGAGGAUGCAAGCGUUAUCCGGAAUGAUUGGGCGUAAAGGGUCCGCAGGUGGCAAUGUAAGUCUGCUGUUAAAGAGUCUAGCUCAACUAGAUAAAGGCGGUGGAAACUACAUAGCUAGAGUACGUUCGGGGCAGAAGGAAUUCCUGGUGUAGCGGUGAAAUGCGUAGAUAUCAGGAAGAACACCGGUGGCGAAAGCGUUCUGCUAGGCCGUAACUGACACUGAGGGACGAAAGCUAGGGGAGCGAAUGGGAUUAGAUACCCGCGUAGUCC
rnacentral:rRNA from 1 species